rnacentral:lncRNA from 1 species
CAUCUCAUACGCCCCUUAUUUAUUUUUUUUAUAAAAAAAAAAUUUAUAAAUAUUUUUUAUCUUUUUGACUUUUAAAAAUUUAUAUUUUUAGCAUCUUAAAAAUUUUAGAAAUGUUUUCAAAUGGGUAAGACGUUAAUUGAAAAAGCGAAACGAUCAAAUUACUCUUACUUUUUGUAUAAAAAAAUAUAUUUUUUUAAUAUUUAUGUCAUUUGAAGAAUAUUUUUGUCAUAAAUUAUGAAAAAUAGACAGAAUAGUGAUAGAAUCCUAAUGGAGAGAAGCUAAAUGAAACUACUUGAAAUAUUGAGAAUAAAAAAUAUAAUUUUUUUAUAGUAAAAAAAAAGUAAAAAAAAAGUAUUUAUAAAAAAAAUUUCUGUAAUUCAGCCAAAAAAAAAAGACGGUAUAUAAAUAUAUAUAUAUAUAUAAAAAAAUGGAUUAAAAAAAAAAAUUAAAUUGGAUAUGG